UCCUACGGGGGGCAGCAGUGAGGAAUAUUGGUCGAUGGGCGGGAGCCUGAACCAGCCAAGUCGCGUGAGGGAAGACGGUCCUAUGGAUUGUAAACCUCUUUAGGCGGGGAGCAAUGCCGGGCACGCGUGCCCGGAGGGAGAGUACCCGCAGAAUAAGCAUCGGCUAACUCCGUGCCAGCAGCCGCGGUAAUACGGAGGAUGCGAGCGUUAUCCGGAUUUAUUGGGUUUAAAGGGUGCGUAGGCGGAUUUUUACGUCAGCGGUAAAAUGUCCGGGCUCAACCCCGGCCGGCCGUUGAAACUGGGGG
rnacentral:rRNA from 1 species